rnacentral:rRNA from 1 species
GGCAGUUUUGCUAGGUAAAGCGAAUGAUUAGAGGUAUUGGGG